UUGGAGAGAGAGUAGACAAUG
rnacentral:miRNA from 1 species